AGGCCUUUCCUACUUAAAAAUAAAGGUUUUAUUGAGCACCCUGUUCAUUGCCAUACUGAUAGAUAAACAUGAAGGAGAGGGUCUGGAAAAGUUUCUUCACAGUCUUUUCAUAAAGCACUGGUGUAAAGCUGUCAUCUCUACCUUACAGCAGACACAGUUAUGUAGCAUGGACCUGAGGCUGAACUGUGAGCUACCUAGCAAGUCUUCCAUGUUCAUCCUCUCAAGCUGAGCCACAGCCAUAAAACCCCACAUAGAAGGCCACAGCAGUGGGAGGUGAGAGUCCAUACAAAAAAAGGGGAAGACGUUCUCUCUGAGCAGGAAGGAACGAGUGUCAGAAGCCAUUGCAUUCAGAAUGCUUUGCACAGGACCAGGAAGGGAAAGAUUGCAACCAUGAUGUACAAGGUGAAGGCUGACCAAACAAAGCAGAGUUGGAGAAGCCUAACUCUCAGAAGUGCCCUGCUGGAGCAAAUUCUGCUCCUUUGCUGUCCUUCAUAUCAAUAUACUUAGUACAAAGAAAAAGAAGAGAGAAAUCCACCAAAGAAGGUCAUCUUUUCACUCAGCCUACAGCUCUUUGCAAGAAAUAAAAAUACUUCAUAACUCUGAGGACUGAUCUGGAGACCAAUGAACAUCAACAGAAGCCUCGUCCAAGUACAGAUCAGUGGAUUUCUAAGAAAUUCAUUGCUCCUAAAGUCACAGACUCUAUUUUUGAAGAAGAUUCCACCCAGUCUCCAGUUCUUCAAGUGGAGACUGAACUGUCGUAUCUUAUCUAGAGAGAGAAAACAACAGUCAUUGCAAUCCGGGAAG